UACGAAGGGGGCUAGCGUUGCUCGGAAUCACUGGGCGUAAAGCGCACGUAGGCGGACUCUUAAGUCAGGGGUGAAAUCCUGGAGCUCAACUCCAGAACUGCCUUUGAUACUGGGAGUCUUGAGUUCGGGAGAGGUGAGUGGAACUGCGAGUGUAGAGGUGAAAUUCGUAGAUAUCGGGAGGAACACCGGUGGCGAAGGCGGCGACCUGGGUAGAUACUGACGCUGAGGUGCGAAAGCGUGGGGAGCAAACAGG
rnacentral:rRNA from 1 species